rnacentral:rRNA from 1 species
UGGGGAAUCUUCCGCAAUGGACGAAAGUCUGACGGAGCAACGCCGCGUGAGUGAAGAAGGUUUUCGGAUCGUAAAACUCUGUCUUUUGGGGCGAACGUGAGUAUGGUGAACAAUCAUAGUCAGUGACGGUACCAAAGGAGGAAGCCACGGCUAACUACGUGCCAGCAGCCGCGGUAAUACGUAGGUGGCAAGCGUUGUCCGGAAUUAUUGGGCGUAAAGAGCGCGUAGGCGGGAUAGUCAGUCUGUUGUAAAAGUGCGGGGCUCAACCCCGUGAUCGCAAUGGAAAACAAGCUAUUCUUGAGUGCAGGAGAGGAAAGUGGAAUUCCCAGUGUAGCGGUGAAAUGCGUAGAUAUUGGGAGGAACACCAGUGGCGAAGGCGACUUUCUGGACUGUGUCUGACGCUGAGGCGCGAAAGCCAGGGGAGCGAACGGGAUUAGAUACCCC